UACGGAGGUGGCAGGCGUUACUCGGAUUGAUUGGGUGUAAAGGGCGUGUAGGCGGUGGAUUAAGUCGGAUGUGAAAUCCCUUGGCUCAACCAAGGAACUGCAUCCGAAACUAUUCUACUUGAGCGACAGAGAGGAAAGCGGAAUUCCCGGUGUAACAGUGAAAUGUGUAGAUAUCGGGAGGAACACCAGUGGCGAAGGCGGCUUUCUGGCUGUCUGCUGACGCUGAAACGCGAGAGCUAGGGGAGCAAACAGGAUUAG
rnacentral:rRNA from 1 species